rnacentral:piRNA from 1 species
UCUAGGAACUUCUGGAUCCAGG